AAAACACACUAAAACAUCUAUUUUUGGUGUACACGAAAAUAAGCGGGGAAUUCCUUUAAAACUGAAAGUUGGAAUUAAUCAGUGUUAACAGAGGUGUCUCUAAAGGAUUAUUGUGAGAAGAACAUUUUUUUUAUAAGCGAUGCCUUUUUCAAUUAAGGGUUUUGGAGGUCUUGGAGGAGUUCCAAAGGUAACCACUCCUGGUUUACCAAGACCAUCGGCUGGGCAGCCACCAAGUGGCCCAAUUAGAGGCCCUCAACGACCGCCACCUCCACCUCCAACUAAGGGAAGGUGUUUGACAAAAUGAUCGUAGAGUAACAAUGUGAACAGAUUUGCAUGACAUUUUGAGGAAAAAUAAAUGGAAUAUGCACGAUCUAAACGCUAAAUUAAAUAAAAAAAUAAGAUGAAUGUGCAAAGAUGGUACUUAACUUUAUGUGAAUUUAUAUCUGGAAUAAACCCGUUAAUCAUUUUUUUCUUUAAAAUAAUGUGACGUUUUCACAGAUUGCCCUGUACAAAAUAUAGUUCAAGGAAGAAAAAAAUCUAGCAAAUGUAUUAAA